GCAUGGUAAACCUUUGAGAAGAGCUGGAUGAACUUAUGGAAAGAUUCCCAGCCUUCCCUUUUCUCAUUUAAUAUCAGGACUAGCGCCAUAGUGCUCUUGUUCCAUUCCACUAUUUUGUUCCUGGGGAGCACAUGGUGCAUAUAACCUUGUUUAUGAAGCGGAUGAUCAGUAUACGUGGGACCAUGUUUCAUGUCACCUUUGUCUUUUCCUCAGACAUCUCAAUCCAACAUUAACAUUAAUUAAUACAUCUCAAGCCUGUAAACCAAUAAACAUAGGCGCCGAAGCCUUUCCUUCAAAGCAUUAUGAGAAUGAAGGGG
rnacentral:lncRNA from 1 species